rnacentral:rRNA from 1 species
AUGACUAAAGAUAAUUUAGCUAAACGAGGCAUUGAGAAACCCCCUGAUUGUGUCUACUGUACAGACAAAGAAACAAUUGAUCACCUUUUCUUUGGAUGUGUAGUGGCCAAACAAAUUUGGCGAUAGGUCUCAGACUUGUUCUCCAUUGAUCUGUGUUCAGAUUAUCUUUCUAUUGCUAGGUUUUGGCCCGCCAAUAAGAAACAGACAAUGUUAAACUCUAUAUGUGCAUGCAUUCUUUGGACUUUAAGGAAGAACAGAAAUGCUCAUGUUUUUAACAAUGCUGUGUGGACUGAUUUGAAACAGAUUUGGAGGAAAGUGUUGGGAACAAUGAGGAGAUGGAUGAUCUUGCUCAAGGAGAAAGCGAUCCCGCUGUGGGAGAAGAUAACACGCCAGAUUUCCUUGAUUUUGGAAACCCCAUUCCAAAUCAUGGCGAGGUGA